rnacentral:rRNA from 1 species
UACGUAGGUGGCAAGCGUUGUCCGGAUUUACUGGGCGUAAAGAGCGCGCAGGCGGUCGUCCAAGUCGCGUGUGAAAGCCCCCGGCUCAACUGGGGAGGGUCACGCGAUACUGGUCGACUCGAAGGCAGGAGAGGGUAGUGGAAUUCCCGGUGUAGUGGUGAAAUGCGCAGAUAUCGGGAAGAACACCCGUGGCGAAGGCGGCUCUCUGGGACGGUACUGACGCUGAGACGCGAAAGCGUGGGGAGCGAACAGG